rnacentral:sRNA from 1 species
UUAUGGUAAUAUGGGACAACAAUUGAGUC